rnacentral:rRNA from 1 species
UACGUAGGGUGCGAGCGUUGUCCGGAAUUAUUGGGCGUAAAGAGCUCGUAGGCGGUGUGUCACGUCGGCCGUGAAAACCUGCAGCUUAACUGUGGGCGUGCGGUCGAUACGGGCAUCACUGGAGUUCGGCAGGGAGACUGGAAUUCCUGGUGUAGCGGUGAAAUGCGCAGAUAUCAGGAGGAACACCGAUGGCGAAGGCAGGUCUCUGGGCAUUAACUGGCGCUGAGGAGCGAAAGCAUGGGGAGCGAACAGG